rnacentral:rRNA from 1 species
GACGAACGCUGGCGGCGUGCUUAACACAUGCAAGUCGAACGGAAAGGCCCUGCUUUUGUGGGGUGCUCGAGUGGCGAACGGGUGAGUAACACGUGAGUAACCUGCCCUUGACUUUGGGAUAACUUCAGGAAACUGGGGCUAAUACCGGAUAGGAGCUCCUGCUGCAUGGUGGGGGUUGGAAAGUUUCGGCGGUUGGGGAUGGACUCGCGGCGUAUCAGCUUGUUGGUGGGGUAGUGGCUUACCAAGGCUUUGACGGGUAGCCGGCCUGAGAGGGUGACCGGCCACAUUGGGACUGAGAUACGGCCCAGACUCCUACGGGAGGCAGCAGUGGAGAAUAUUGCACAAUGGGCGGAAGCCUGAUGCAGCAACGCCGCGUGCGGGAUUACGGCCUUCGGGUUGUAAACCGCUUUCGCCAGGGACGAAGCGUGAGUGACGGUAAUGGGUAAAGAAGCACCGGCUAACUACGUG